UAUAGAAGGAGUUUAUUUGGGCUUACGGUUCUAGCAGGUGAUGGCGGAGGGAAGGCAUGGGGCCAAAGCGGUGAAGACUCACAGCUUGAAUCACAAGCAUGAAGCAAAGAUCGCAAGUUCAAGAUGGCACGAGUCCUUUACACUCUCAAAGGCCACCACUUCCAACGGCAUACUCCCUCCGACAAGGCCGCACCCUCUAAGGCCCCCCAAAACAGUGUAACUAACUGGAGAACAAGCAUUCAAAUGCCUGAGACUGUGAGAGACAUCUUAUUCAAGAUGCACAGAGCCUAACUGACAGCGGGUGUCAAACCCAGAAAGAAAAAAGGAAAAGCUGUUAGAUCGGAGCGAUGGCUAAGUGGUCAAAAACACUGGCUGCUUCUGCAAAAGACCCAGGUUGGAUUCCCAGCAUCCGCAUGGUGACUCGGAACCGUUUAACUCCAGUUUCAAGGGAUCCCGCGCCCUCUGCUGGUCUCCACUGGUACUGCAUACACACAGCUCACAGACACAUGCUGGCAGCGUGCUCAAACAUGUAAGAUAGCGUGAAUUUUAAGGAGGUGAGAGAGCCUCAGGCUAUGACAGGAAGGAACAAAGCAGCAGGGCUCUGAGGAGAUCAAGAAGUCUAUUGACAUCAUCAUCUUUGAUCGGCUUGGAGAAGUAUUUGGGUUGGGGACCUAUGCAGAGGCUUCCGGGUGAGAACGGUGUUCCCCUAAAUUCAAAGGCUGCAAUAGUGUUAAAAGGUCAGAAUAACCAUUGUAUUGCGUCUUCCCGGGACAGAGAUGCAAUGCCAAGGGACCGCCAGAAAAAUACAGUGUUCAUUCGGCUGCUAUUUUGCUUCCAUUUGUUCUGUCUGUAAGCAUUGUUGCUACGCUAUUGGGAAAGGUGCUGUGCUGAUACAACUGACGUUAAGCUUUCGUUACAAAGAAGCAGAUCUUUAGAGAGCUGGACCACAAAACACGACUGGUUAAUUCCAGUCAGGAUCUGAACCCUGGUCCACGUAGCCCGCACACCACGUCCUCUGUGGAACCCUUCCUGCUGCCUGGACUGACGAAGACCACAGCAGUCUAGCGAAGACCCAACACAGCCCUAGAAGAACAGUCACUGGGCUGCUUACAACACAACCUUAGGGCUGUUAGCUGGGAAACAAAACACUUCAAGAAAGGCGCAGGUGUCAUAAGCAGAGACAGUGGCUGGCCUCACCGUCCUUCCCCUGCCUGGCAUCGGGAAUGAUCAUGAAACAGGGCGUGAAUUCAAGAGUCAAUAAAUUCAUUAGAAGAAAAACACUCAACUGUGAACCCAGGGAAAGGGUUUUGCAUCAAAAGAAUACCUUGGCCAAGGAAUGCCACAAAAAAGUCACCCCAUUGCCACAGACUCAUGCAAGAGAUUUAUUGGCGAGGGGAGAUACAAAACGCUGCCUCUGAGUACGGAUGGAAAGAGAGAGAGAGAGACCAGGAGUUCGGCCCCCAGGGUGCUUGAGGACGACAGCCUUAGUGACCCUGGAGAACAAUGCCCAUGGCUGGAACUGUCUUUGCUGCUCUGCGGUAGACCAUUUUAACUCAUCGGGUACAGCAGAUGUUCAGUCUAUCCACACCUGUAAUCCCAGUACCCAGAAGGCUGAGGCAGGGGGUUGAGAUUCCAAGGCCAGCCUGGAAGACAACCUAGAAAAAUCCUAUCUUGAAGGAAACGACAAAGCCAAGCUCCAUACUUCGUGGGUUCAAGCUGUACCAUGUCAACAGAGGGGCAGCGUUUAGCCGCCAUGGAUGACAUGCCCACAUCCUGGUACUAACCACAAAAACCGACUCAGGAAGGACUGGACCGACACUGUUUUUUAUGAUUCCCAAAGGCACAUUUUUCUAUUUCUUUCUUAAAAUUCUCCAUCCCCCCUGAGCCUCCUAGCUGACCGUAGUCACUCCGUUCCUUUAACCCUCUGGCUAGGAUGGCUAUGUAGACUGCACAGCCUUCCACAUCACGCUGUGAGGCAUGUAGGAAACGUGAUGUGGCCGCCUGUCCAUGAACAGCCAGCUCCAUGUCUGUGGGUCUUAUGAUGACACUAUUUGAAAUGGUCCCAUAUAAAGAAGCAGAAGAUCGAUGAACAGCUUUCUAAGUAGGAUCAUGAAACAGGUCUUGGGGAAGUGCUUUCUAUUUUAAGAGGAUACAACUCAAAACAGAUCUGCACACACACACACACACACACACACACACACACACACACACUUCCUGUCCUCGCCACAGCCAUACCUUCACCCCAUCCUGCAGUUCGGUACGACAGAGACCACCCAGUCUAGGUCAAUCAGUUACUCCAAUUCUUCAUCCCGUGUGACCCUCCUAUCCUAAGAUUCUGUGGCUGUGACUGGGGGUAUCAAACUCAUGGAUCUUGAUUUGUGGGGGAAACAGAAGAAAGGGUCCAUUUUCCAGGGAGCCUGGGUUGCCCAUCAGGUAUUCUUUCAGAAAUCAGUUCUGAGAAACCUGAGUGAGGAUGGAGAUGUUAGUACUCAUGCCAGGCUUUCUGGCAUGGUUCCUACGUUCUAGAUUGUCACAAGGGUACAUGUCACUCAGGCCACUGGAGGUGCCUCCCGGAGGCUGAAUUCAGAGAUAUUCUCUUUCCUCAUGCGAUGGUUUGCAUAUGCUUGGCCCAGAGAAGGUGUGGCCUUGUUGGAGGAAGUGUGUCACUGUCGGGUGGGCUUGGAGACCCUCCUCCUAGCUGCCUGAGGAUGCUCAGUCUGUCCCUGGCUUCCUUCGGGUGAAGAUGUAGAACUCUCAGCUCCUCCUGCGCCAGGCCUGCCUGGAUGCUGCCAUGCUCCCGCCUUGAUGAUAAUGAACUGAACCUGUAAGCCAGCCCCAAUUAAAUGUUGUCCUUAUAAGACUUA